rnacentral:rRNA from 1 species
GGGGAAUAUUGGACAAUGGGGGAAACCCUGAUCCAGCAAUGCCGCGUGGGUGAUGAAGGCCUUCGGGUUGUAAAGCCCUUUCGGCGGGGACGAUGAUGACGGUACCCGCAGAAGAAGCCCCGGCUAACUUCGUGCCAGCAGCCGCGGUAAUACGAAGGGGGCUAGCGUUGUUCGGAAUUACUGGGCGUAAAGGGCGCGUAGGCGGCUUGUCUAGUCGGGCGUGAAAAGCCUGGGCUUAACCCGGGAACUGCGCUCGAUACUGAUAGGCUUGAGUGUGGGAGAGGAUGGUGGAAUUCCCAGUGUAGAGGUGAAAUUCGUAGAUAUUGGGAAGAACACCGGUGGCGAAGGCGGCCAUCUGGACCACAACUGACGCUGAGGCGCGAAAGCGUGGGGAGCAAAC